rnacentral:rRNA from 1 species
CAGCCGCCGCGGGAAUACGGAGGGGGCUAGCGUUGUUCGGAAUUACUGGGCGUAAAGCGCACGUAGGCGGCUUGGUAAGUUAGAGGUGAAAGCCUGGAGCUCAACUCCAGAAUUGCCUUUAAGACUGCCGAGCUAGCAGGUGAGAGAGGUAAGUGGAAUUCCGAGUGUAGAGGUGAAAUUCGUUGAUAUUCGGAAGAACACCAGUGGCGAAGGCGGCUUACUGGCUCAUACUGGACGCUGAGGUGCGAAAGCGUGGGGAGCAAACAGGAUUAGAUACCCCAGUAGUCCCUGUCUCUUAUAC